AUUCCAGCUCCAAUAGCGUACAUUAAAGUUGUUGCAGUUAAAAAGCUCGUAGUUGGAUUUCUGGUGUCGCAGUGCUUCCGCGUGUUUAAUUACAUGUCGAGUUGUGUUUGCGUCGCCAUCUUUUAGCAGCACCCUCCUGGCAUUAGGUUGUUGGGUUGGUAAUGCUAAUCGUUUACUGUGAAGAAAUUAGAGUGUUCAAAGCAGGCUUAUGCCGUUGAAUACGUUAGCAUGGAAUAACGAGAUAGGACCUUGAUACUAUUUUGUUGGUUUACGCAUCAAGGUAAUGAUUAAUAGGGACAGUUGGGGGUAUUCGUAUUCCAUUGUCAGAGGUGAAAUUCUUGGAUUUAUGGAAGACGAACUACUGCGAAAGCAUUUACCAAGGAUGUUUUCAUCA
rnacentral:rRNA from 1 species